UACGGAAGGUCCGGGCGUUAUCCGGACUUAUUGGGUUUAAAGGGAGCGUAGGCGGGUCGCUAAGCGUGCUGUGAAAAGCCGCGGCUCAACCGUGGUCGUGCGGCGCGAACUGGCAACCUUGAGUGCGCGGGAGGCACGCGGAAUUCGUGGUGUAGCGGUGAAAUGCUUAGAUAUCACGAGGAACCCCGAUUGCGAAGGCAGCGUGCCGUAGCGUUACUGACGCUGAAGCUCGAAGGUGCGGGUAUCGAAC
rnacentral:rRNA from 1 species